UUUCGAUAUGUUUUGACAACUUACAACAGUAAGUGCAUAGACUUAAGCCAUAGGUCAAUAGCUAUAUUGGGGAAAUAUAUUUGUAUCGUACUGUUGAGCACGUCAGACCGUUUUUGAUACACCCCAAAGAAAAAGUUUAAAGGAAACACCUGAUUAACAGACAUAAGAGCCUACUGAUAAGAUGGGUUCUAAUGAUGACUGCUUCUCGGUAACAGGUCGAAUAAUUCUGGGUAUUUUAAAUACAUUGGUUAUGAUAAUUGGCUUCGUACUUCUGGUGUUUGGAAUUUUAGCAGCUGCCUAUAUACCAGGAAUUCAAUUUCUUCUUGAUUCUAGUAGUGGACAAUUCGCUGCAGUAAAACUUACCGAGGGUACAGGUUUCCCAGUUGAAAACCUGACGGAACUCUUCCAGGCGGCAGCAUACGCCCUCAUUAUCUUUGGUAUCUUCUUCUUUCUAAUUGGUUUAUUGGGGUUGAUCGGUGGAUGCUGUAAAGUGAAUUGUUCUCUAAUUGUGUAUGUCGUAUUGAUGAUCUUGCUUAUCUUGGCUCAGAUUAUUUUCCUCAUUAUAGUCUUUUCACAGAGAGACGUGCUGGAUGGCAGUGUAAAGCAACCACUACUUGAUAUGACCAACAAAUAUAAGCAGUAUGACGCAAAAGACUCGGAUACUGUCACCAUGAAUUUCCUUAUGGUUUCGUUAAAAUGUUGUGGUGUUAACGACUAUAAAGAUUUUAAGACGAUUGCGAAUGGUGGAUCAUGGAAUAAUACCGCAACCGGACCUCCUCUUGAAACCCCUUUAUUUUGCUGUGUUGAAAUUCCCACAACAAAAGAAGCUAG